ensembl:lncRNA
AGGCACCAUCGCAUGCUCCUUUAAUCCCACUGUGAGAGGGUCUUGUCUGCCUGCAGCUCUUCUGAUGUGCAUGGGGGUAAAUGAAGUGGACAGGGGUAUCACAGAAGAUAGGGCGGCCUUCCCUAAUUGCCAGCUUCACCUAGACCUUGAUCACCGUCAUCUCUGAAGCCUCAUCAUUGCACCUGGAAAAGUUUUUGGCUUCACUAUGACUUUGAAGUGAACUUUAACUUCUAAAAGAAAUCUGUGAUGACACAAUAGGCAGGCAAAGAACUACUAAGCAGAGUUAGCUGGAAAAAAUCAGGAAGAGUGAACACCCUAGAAGGAACAGUAAAUUAAGCCUCCGUAGGUGCUUUUUUUCUUGGGGACUUUCAUCAAUUCUGGGCCCAAAGAGAGGCUUGAAAUCCCAAAGAGGCUUGCUUCUGGCAGAAGAUUACUAUAGAAGAUAGAAAAGGAAACAAUGUUUUUGGUGGUCACCUACUGUUGGAGUGUCAGAAUUUGGGGAGGAGACUUCAGCACGUGGUUUGUCAGGCUUCAAACAGUUAGUUCAGUCGCUCAGUUGGGUCUGACUUUCUGCGACCCCGUUGACUGCAGCACCUCAGGCUUCCCUGUCCAUCACCAACUCCCAAGCUUGCUCAAACUCAUGUCCAUCGAGUCGGUGAUGCCAUCCAAUAAAUUUGUAUAAUUUUGAAGCACAUAGUGGGGGAAGAAAAUGGCAAAUUAACCUUUGUCUCUCAGGGGAGAAGACGAAAAAGAUUAUAAAUCUAUUGUGAUUAAGACCGUCAUUAGCAUAAGUAAAGUCACAUUCAACAAUGAAAUAGACUGGAGAAUAUUCUAGAAACAGACCUACAUAUGGUCACCUGAUACAUGACUCAUUUUAU